UACGAAGUGGGCUAGCGUUGUUCGGAAUCACUGGGCGUAAAGGGCGCGUAGGCGGCCUGAUAAGUCGGGGGUGAAAGCCUGUGGCUCAACCACAGAAUUGCCUUCGAUACUGUUAGGCUUGAGACCGGAAGAGGUAAGUGGAACUGCGAGUGUAGAGGUGAAAUUCGUAGAUAUUCGCAAGAACACCAGUGGCGAAGGCGGCUUACUGGUCCGGUUCUGACGCUGAGGCGCGAAAGCGUGGGGAGCAAACAGG
rnacentral:rRNA from 1 species